rnacentral:piRNA from 1 species
UAGGUAUACAUGUGCCAUGGUGCUUUCCUG